rnacentral:rRNA from 1 species
GUCUACGGGCAUGCCACCCUGAAAACACGCCCCGAUCCCGUCCGAGCUCGGAAGCUCAGCAGGGUCGGGCCUGUUUAGUAACGUGGAUGGGAGACCACCAAGGAAGACCGGGCGCUGUAGAGG